CAGUCGCCGCGGUAAAACGGAGGGCGCGAGCGUUACCCGGAUUUACUGGGCGUAAAGGGCGUGUAGGCGGCCUGGGGCGUCCCAUGUGAAAGGCCACGGCUCAACCGUGGAGGAGCGUGGGAUACGCUCAGGCUAGAGGGUGGGAGAGGGUGGUGGAAUUCCCGGAGUAGCGGUGAAAUGCGCAGAUACCGGGAGGAACGCCGAUGGCGAAGGCAGCCACCUGGUCCACUUCUGACGCUGAGGCGCGAAAGCGUGGGGAGCAAACCGGAUUAGAUACCCCAGUAGUCCCUGUCUCUUAUAC
rnacentral:rRNA from 1 species